AGCGUCCUCCAGAAAAAAAUCUAUCGUUCAUGAGGUCAGCUGAGGAUAGGAACAUUUUGGGGAAAAGGCAAAUGGAUCGGAGAAGAGUGAGCAGCUGAGCGGUGCGAGCUGCUGCUGCGGUAGCUGGAGACGGGGCGGGAGGAGGCGGUGAAGGUGGAGCAAAACCUGCGCGGCUUCCUUCCCGUCCAGGCUGCAAGCGCCGAAGCCAUUCGGCAGGAGCACGGACGGCCUGCGUGGUCGGAUGGGAAGACGGCGUGCUGAAGGCUCGUCGGAUGGGGCCGGCCGAGCUUCUUGUCGCCACACGCCGCACCGCCAAGCUGAGCGCAGGGAGGACGAAGGAGCGCGGCAGCGCAGGAGGCCGACAACCCAUGGAUUCAGACAUCAACAGCUAAACUGACGCAAAUUUAGUGAUAUUUUUCACGAAGAUCGUUUUAUCGAGACAGUCAGACAACAUGUAAGGGUGGUGAAGGAACUCCCUAAAGAUGUUUUGCUGCGCUUCAAUCAUAAUAUCAGCAGCAUACUAAAUAUGAGAACUAAAGCCUACUCAUCUCCAGAUCACUAUCUGCGCAAGGAAUAGAUUGAAAUGGAAAAUGCCCGUGAAAGGAGCUGGAGAGGAAAGUUUCACCGACCUGGUCGAGUUAUCAAUCCUGAGGCAAAUAGAAGAGAUGAAAAAUGCCCACUUACUCCUCUAGAGGUUGGUAUGAUGCUGCGAGGCAUGGAAUUUGACAAUACAACCUUCCUCUAUGUAGCUUCUGGCAAAAUAGAGAAUGCUGCAAAAUACAUGGCUCCCCUUCGCCAGAUGUUCCCUCUUUUAGAGACCAAGGACACUGUUGCUUUGCCUGAAGAACUUGCUGAGUUUAAGGGGUACUCAUCUCGGUUAGCAGCAUUAGAUUACACUGUCUCUGUUCAGAGCCAGGUGUUUGUGACGACUCAAGGGGAGAACUUCCCUCACUUUCUGAUGGGGCACAGGCGUUACCUGCUAGGAGGGAAUGCAAAGACAAUAAAACCUGAUAAAAAGAAGCUGGUCUUAUCUUUUGAUGAUCCGAAUAUCAGGUGUAGAUCUUGCUGAUGACGUCGGAAAAGCAUGGUCAAGCAUGGCAGUACAUUUUGAAGAUAAUUACCGCUGGGAGCAUCCGCAAAGCAACCACACCAGCAUAAACAGAGGAAUCAGAGGCAGACGAAGGUAAAUAAUGUGUAAAACCUAGAACCUGACUAUCUUAGCUGGCCAUGCUGCUAUGCACGGUAGCUGUUUAGGUUCAAAAGGUUUCCGGACCAUGCUGAAGCCCAGAAGCCAUUACUAUGAGAAUGGUUGGCGGCCUAACCUGCCUGAAGAAGAGCAGUUUGCCGGCAUAUGUCAGAAUGCGGACGACGACCCUGGCGACGACUAUUCGAAGCUGACCUCCGCAG